CCCAUUACAAAGUCAAUCUGAUCGAAGUCGAAGAGUACAAAAGUGGUUUGACUACAAAAUCUGCUUGGUCAUUCUUGUGCUUAAGUACAAAAACAAAGAAGAGGCCCAAGUCCUAGGCAUUGGUGAGGGCAUCCAGCUUCUCAAUUGGGGCCAUGGACUAUGGCAGAAUGAUCAUGGGCGGAGGUUGGGGGGCAGCUGCAUCUUUGAUCAGCAUAACCUUGGCAUGUCCCACUCCAGCUCCAUCGAUUCCUGCAUCCUUAGUCGGAAUGACCUCAGCUUCUUCAACCUUGUC
rnacentral:lncRNA from 1 species